rnacentral:rRNA from 1 species
UACGUAGGGGGCGAGCGUUGUCCGGAUUCAUUGGGCGUAAAGAGCUCGUAGGCGGUUUGGCAAGUCGGGUGUGAAAUCUCUGGGCUCAACUCAGAGAGGCCACUCGAUACUGCUAUGACUAGAGUCCGGUAGGGGACCAUGGAAUUCCUGGUGUAGCGGUGGAAUGCGCAGAUAUCAGGAGGAACACCAAUGGCGAAGGCAGAUCUCUGGGCCGUAACUGACGCUGAGGAGCGAAAGCAUGGGGAGCGAACAGG